UAACGAUGAUGAUGAAGAUGAGGCUGAGGAUGAGGAUGAGGAGGAUAAGCAGGCUCCUCCUCCUCCUUCAGUCAGCUCCUCCUCCUCCUCCUCCUCCUCCUCCUCCUCCUCCGGC
rnacentral:miRNA from 1 species